ACAACCUAUGAUGUUUGGACCAUUAGAUGUGCUUUGAGAUUCAUGCUACGGGGAGGAAAAAACAGGCGUGACGUAUGUUUCGGUGAAGAGCUCUUUCAACAUCCUAAAAAAAAUAAUUUAAGAUACUAUAUUUUAUUGUAAAAUUUUAAUAGAAUUUUUGGUAGCUCAAGGCACUAGAAUUUUGCACUGGAGACCUCGGGCGCAGCAAGGCACAUUGGUAACCAAUGACACCACCUGCAGUUUUUUAUAUCUAUGC
rnacentral:lncRNA from 1 species